GCCCCCAUCGUCUAGAGGCCUAGGACACGGGCUUUUCAAGCCUGUAACACCGGUUCGAAUCCGGUUGGGGGCACAA
rnacentral:tRNA from 1 species